UACGUAGGGGGCAAGCGUUGUCCGGAUUUAUUGGGCGUAAAGAGCGUGUAGGCGGCCUGACAGGUCUGCUGUGAAAACUCGAGGCUCAACCUCGAGAUGUCGGCGGAAACCGUCUGGCUAGAGUCCGGAAGAGGAGAGUGGAAUUCCUGGUGUAGCGGUGAAAUGCGCAGAUAUCAGGAGGAACACCGGUGGCGAAGGCGGUUCUCUGGGCCUGUUCUGACGCUGAGGAGCGAAAGCGUGGGGAGCGAACAGG
rnacentral:rRNA from 1 species